GACGAACCGUGCGAACGUUAUUCGGAAUCAUUGGGCGUAAAGGGUGCGUAGGCGGCGCGGUAAGUCGGGUGUGAAAUCUCGGAGCUUAACUCCGAAACUGCAUUCGAUACUGCCGUGCUUGAGGACUGGAGAGGAGACUGGAAUUUACGGUGUAGCGGUGAAAUGCGUAGAUAUCGUAAGGAAGACCAGUGGCGAAGGCGGGUCUCUGGACAGUUCCUGACGCUGAGGCACGAAGGUCAGGGGAGCAAACGGG
rnacentral:rRNA from 1 species